UACGGGGGGGGCAAGCGUUGUUCGGAAUUACUGGGCGUAAAGGGCGCGUAGGCGGCCUGCUAAGUCGGAUGUGAAAUCCCUCGGCUCAACCGAGGAACUGCAUCCGAUACUGGCGGGCUUGAAUCCGGGAGAGGGAUGCGGAAUUCCAGGUGUAGCGGUGGAAUGCGUAGAUAUCGGGAGGAACACCAGUGGCGAAGGCGGUUGCCUGGGGCUUUGCUGACGCUGAUGCGCGAAAGCGUGGGGAGCGAUCCGG
rnacentral:rRNA from 1 species